rnacentral:rRNA from 1 species
UAACUGAAAAGGUUAAUUAAAAAAAUUAAAGAAUAUAUAAAGUAUAGUACCUUUUGUAUCAGGGUUAAUUAAUAUUUGUAUAAAUAAACUAAUUUCGAAAUCACUCGAUCUAAAAAAUAUAAAAACUAAUUUGUGUAAAAAAAAAGUUAAUUAUUUAUUAGUGAUGAGAAUUCUUUCGAGAGUGAUAAUAUCUAAUUAAAAAUGAAGUAAUUAUUUUAUUCUUUGUAGAAGAUUAGUCUAGUUGGGCCAGCUUAUUAGAUUUAAAUAAUAAAUAAGAAGUUAUUAAAACUAAGCUUUAAAUUAGCUAUGUUUGUAAUUUGUAUUAAAUAAUUUUUAAAAAAGAAAAUUAUGAAAUUUAAAAUUAAUUUUUUAAGGGUUUUAAUAAAUAAAAGCCUAUAAAAAUGAUUAAAUUAGUAUUUUUGUAAGUUAAAAUGUAUUAACUCGGUUAUAUUUAGACUGUUUAACAAAAACAUUUCUUUCUGAAAAAUAGAAAGUAUAGCCUGCCCGGUGAAAAAUUUUAACGGCUGCGGUAUUUUGACCGUGCUAAGGUAGCAUAAUAAAUUGUUUUUUAAUUGAAAACUGGAAUGAAAGGUAGAACUAUUUAUGAAUUUGUUUAUUUUAAUUUAUGAAUUUUUAUUGUAAGUAAAAAUACUUAUAUAAAAUAAAGGGACGAUAAGACCCUAGAAGCUUAAGUUUGUAAGAAUGUAUAAUAGUUAUUUUUAAAGUUUACAUUCUAUAAAAUUUUGAUUGGGGAAAUAAAAAUUUUACUAAUAAUUUUUUUUUUAGAAAAAUAGUUAUUCAAGGAUCUUUUAAAUAAAAAAGUGGAAAAGUUACUCUAGGGAUAACAGCGUAAUAAUUUUGGAUAGACCUUAUAUAUAAGAUUGAUUACGACCUCGAUGUUGAAUUAAAAUAUCUUUAUAAAGUAGAAAUUAUAAUAGAAGGUUUGUUCAACCUUUAAUUUUUUACAUGAUUUGAGUUCAGACCGGUUUAAGCCAGGUCAGUUUCUAUCUUUUAUAAUAAACAAAUUUUUUUAGUACGAAAGGACCAAAUAAUUUUAAUAUUU